GGAAAUGUGCCUGAACAAAAGGGUAACUUUGAUAGAGUUAAUGAUAGAGAUUAAACCCUCUCAUUUCCU
rnacentral:tRNA from 1 species